CCCCUAGUAACGGCGAGUGAAGCGGGAAGAGCUCAAAUUUGAAAUCUGGCGGUCUACGGCCGUCCGAGUUGUAAUCUAGAGAGGUGUUUUCCGUGCCGGACCGUGUACAAGUCCCUUGGAACAGGGCGUCAUAGAGGGUGAGAAUCCCGUCCAUGACACGGACUACCGGUGCUCUGUGAUACACCUUCAAAGAGUCGAGUUGUUUGGGAAUGCAGCUCAAAAUGGGUGGUAAAUUCCAUCUAAAGCUAAAUACAGGCGAGAGACCGAUAGCGAACAAGUACCGUGAGGGAAAGAUGAAAAGAACUUUGGAAAGAGAGUUAAACAGUACGUGAAAUUGUUGAAAGGGAAACGCUUGAAGUCAGUCGCGUCUGCCAGGACUCAGCCUUGCUUCUGCAUGGUGCAUUUCCCGGUGGAUGGGCCAGCAUCGAUUUUGGUCGCCGGACAAGGGCGGGAGGAAUGUGGCAGCUUGCUGUGUUAUAGCCUCCCGUCGUACACGGUGGUUGGGAUCGAGGACUGCAGCACGCCUUUGGUCGGGGUUCGCCCACGCCACGUGCUUAGGAUGCUGGCGUAAUGGCUUUAAACGACCCGUCUUGAAACACGGACCAAGGAGUCUAACAUGCCUGCGAGUGUUUGGGCGUUAAACCCAGGCGCGUAAUGAAAGUGAAAAGUUGGGACUCUUUAGUGAGGCACCGACGCCCGAUCCUGACGUUCUCUGACGGAUUUGAGGUAGAGCAUGUAUGUUGGGACCCGAAAGAUGGUGAACUAUGCCUGAAUAGGGUGAAGCCAGAGGAAACUCUGGUGGAGGCUCGUAGCGAUUCUGACGUGCAAAU
rnacentral:rRNA from 1 species